UUUUGGGAAGGGAAGACAGGGUUAAGGA
rnacentral:piRNA from 1 species